CCUUGGAGCUGGAGUGCGUCCUAACUCAUUCGGAAAGGAGUGUCGGACGCGUUUGGACGGAUGUUCAGAGGGCUCUCGCUCGGGAAUCGUCUUUCGUCGUGGUUUUGGUGCCCCGGAGUUCUAUAUCUGGACCUGUUUCUGUGUGUGUACCUUGGAAGACCAAAACCUUAGAUUUCGUGAAUUGAAGGUUACUUGUGUGCCUGUAGUGCCAUGUUUCGUGCACCUUUUGCUUGAUACUCUUCCUAGCAUACGCUUUUGACAGAUUCAUUUCGGUGAACAGCACAGAUGAGCAGGCACACGGACGACGUGGGAAAAUGAACAGAUACAUCGCGGAGAUGUUGAAAGAGACCAAAUGCCUUCAAGAAAUAUAUCUCAGAGCUAUCUGUCUAUCAUCUAGCAUCGUCGGUGAAUGUGUUGAAGACGCAGUACAGCAAGAGUGUGAAUGUUCAAGAAACAUAUGUCAGACGGAUGCUGAACGAUAUAAAUAAAAUAAGGUAUAAGCUGCA